rnacentral:rRNA from 1 species
AACGAACGCUGGCGGCAGGCUUAACACAUGCUAGUCGAGCGAGACCUUCGGGUCUAGCGGCUGACGGGUGAGUAACGCGUUGGAACGUUCCCUUCUCUACGGAAUAGCCCCGGGAAACUGGGAGUAAUACCGUAUUCGCCCUUUUUGGGAAAGAUUUAUCGGAGAAGGAUCGGCCCGCGUUGGAUUAGGUAGUUGGUGGGGUAAUGGCCCACCAAGCCGACGAUCCAUAGCUGGUUUGAGAGGAUGAUCAGCCACACUGGGACUGAGACACGGCCCAGACUCCUACGGGAGGCAGCAGUGGGGAAUCUUAGACAAUGGGGGCAACCCUGAUCUAGCCAUGCCGCGUGAGUGAUGAAGGCCUUAGGGUUGUAAAGCUCUUUCAGCUGGGAAGAUAAUGACGGUACCAGCAGAAGAAGCCCCGGCUAACUCCGUG